AGGAAACUCUGGUGACCACCACCAAGGAUGAGAGCAGCUGGUGGUCAAACCUGGUGAUCCCUUCGCUGGCGGCCGCCAUUGUCACGCUGGUGUACCGCCUGUACGUCGCUGAGAGCUAGUCACAGCUGUGGCGUCAUCGGUGGGAGGCGGCUCCUCCCUGUGCAGGAUCAGAUGAGCAGCGUCAGACCGACGCCUAUUAAAAGUCUCGCUGUUUGUUUCUGAAUCUCCAGCUCCGACCCUCUAAGCCCCGCCCACGGAUUGCCUCACCUGUUUAACCCAGUAAUCACGCAGAGCGUCUGUGAUCAGAGCAGCUCUGGAGUUCUAAUUCUGUGC